GAAGUCGGCAAAAUAGAUCCGUAACUUCGGGAAAAGGACUGGCUCUGAGGGUUGGGCCUAGGGGUCUUUUCGGAGAGCUUGUGGCGGCCUACGUUGGGCUGCGUCUGGACCUUUCGGGGACCGGAUGCGCCUGGCGGUUGGGCUACUCUUGUUGUGCCGGAGAGAAAGGUGGUUGGCUUUCGGGUUGGCUGCUGUAUCCUUAGUGCGUUGAACAACCGGCUCAGAACUGGAGCGGACAAGGGGAAUCCGGCUGUUUAAUUAAAACAAAGCAUUGUGAUGGCCGGAGCACGUACGGCUUUAACCGCCCAACGUAGAACGUUGGAAGAAGCCUCAUGCUGGACGUUCAGUCGGUACGCGUUGCCGUGUC
rnacentral:ncRNA from 1 species